rnacentral:snRNA from 1 species
UGAAAUUGGAAUGAUACAGAGAAGAUUAGUAGCACGGCACCUGUGCAAGGAUGACAUGUAAAUUCUGAAGUGUUCCAUUAAAAA